rnacentral:rRNA from 1 species
AUUGAACGCUGGCGGCAGGCUUAACACAUGCAAGUCGAGCGAGCGGCGGACGGGUGAGUAAUGUCUGGGAAACUGCCUGAUGGAGGGGGAUAACUACUGGAAACGGUAGCUAAUACCGCAUACCAUCAGAUGUGCCCAGAUGGGAUUAGCUAGUAGGUGGGGUAAUGGCUCACCUAGGCCACGAUCCCUAGCUGGUCGAAGAGGAUGACCAGCCACACCUGAACUGGGACAAGGUCCAGAAUCCUACAGGAGGCAGCAGUGGGGAAUAUUGCAAAAUGGGCGCAAGCCUGAUGCAGCAAUGCCGCGUGUGUGAGGAAGGCCUUCGGGUUGAAAAGCACUUUAAGCGAGGAGGCGUUACUCGCAGAAGAAGCACCGGCUAACUCCUUGCCAGCAGCCGCGGUAAUUC